AACGAACGCUGGCGGCAGGCCUAACACAUGCAAGUCGAGCGGACCCUUCGGGGUUAGCGGCGGACGGGUGAGUAACGCGUGGGAAUAUGCCCUUCUCUACGGAAUAGUCCUGGGAAACUGGGGGUAAUACCGUAUACGCUCUUAGGGGGUAAGAUCUUCUGGGGAAGGAUUAGCCUGUGUUGGAUUAGGUGGUUGGUGGGGUAAUGGCCUACCAAGCCGACGAUCCAUAGCUGGUUUGAGAGGAUGAUCAGCCACACUGGGACUGAGACACGGCCCAGACUCCUACGGGAGGCAGCAGUGGGGAAUCUUAGACAAUGGGGGCAACCCUGAUCUAGCCAUGCCGCGUGAGUGAUGAAGGCCUUAGGGUUGUAAAGCUCUUUCAGCUGGGAAGAUAAUGACGGUACCAGCAGAAGAAGCCCCGGCUAACUCCGUG
rnacentral:rRNA from 1 species